UGAAAUCCAUGAAAAACAAUUGGACGGUCAACAAGUACUCUGCAUUAACACAGUGCCAAUGAAAAGGGACCUUAACGUAGAAUCAGAUAGAGCCGGCAAAGGUCCACCAGGGUACCAAGUCUGUUUUUGUUGGCAUAGGGGGUGGGGUGUAGACACUCAGGCUUCAGGUUUCAGGAAAACCAGGAACACAGUGAUUUUCUCUUACUGUCCAAACAGAGUUAAAAAAAUGACCAAGUUUUUUAUCCUGAGAACCUUUAAGGAAUAUAUGUUCCUUUAUAAAGAUGAAUGACUGUGAUUGAUAUAGCUUCACUUGAUUAAUUACAGACGAAGAGGAGCUGCUGAAACAAGAAAAGCGAAGCGUGCUGCCAAGCAGCCGGUUGAGCCUAGGGACAAUAGCAAAGAAGUAUACCUCUGUCGUGUAUGUGGCAAGCAAUGGACGACCGCUAUUCAGGAUUGGAUAGGCUGCGACAAUUGUAACAAAUGGGUUUCAUUCGACAGAGCCAGAUAGCGUUGACUGUGUGUGUAGGUGUGUAGUAUAGAAGUGUAGUAUAGAAGUGCACAUUGUGAACCAUUCUUUUCAUUAAUACUUUUUAUUAAUAUUGUUGAAUCCCCUGGUGUGGAGGGAGAGUCGUUUGUAGUGCUAUGGGGACAUGCAUUUGUACAAAGAGGUGUUCCCUGGGGGAGUGUCUUUGUAACCCCGUGAGGGGGGUGGGGAUUUGGUGCAUUACUAUAACAAAGUUGAGCUGCAGCAUAAGAAUUUCGAAAAUAGAACUCCACAUGCCCAGUCUGGUUUAGUCAUAGAUAGUGUAGUAAGAGGGAUUGGAAACGGGAUCACGUGGGCUUAUCAAUGCAAUGUAAUGAACUUGGGGCCUUGUGGACAAUCCAGGCUGCGCAUAACACAGCUAUAAGCGCUAAAUCACGCCCGUCCAGAGAUACAAAGACAAGGUUUUCUCCUGUUCUAGGACAAAGGGUUGGAGAAUGAAUACCUGGACGACUGGGACACUGGGAAAAAUCGGUUUCUAGCCGUAAGGAGCUAAGUGCACUGGCUGCAACAAGAUGCUGUAGUGAUGCCACAAGGACUGAAGUUCACAGUCUGAGUCAGUCAAAUCAUUCAUUGACAUGGUAGGAGACCUGUUCAUCCUCCCUGAUGCAAGUGCCUUUCUGAGUGAGCAAAUCGGCUAGAACCCUCUCGAAGUGUUUAACUACAUUUCUAUUUGAUGCACAUAAGC